rnacentral:rRNA from 1 species
UACAUGGGGUGCAAACGUUGCUCGGAAUUAUUGGGCGUAAAGCGCGCGUAGGCGGUUGCUUAAGUCGGAUGUGAAAGCCCUCGGCUUAACCGGGGAAGUGCACCCGAAACUGAGCAGCUUGAGUACGAAAGAGGGUCGCGGAAUUCCCAGUGUAGAGGUGAAAUUCGUAGAUAUCGGGAGGAACACCGGUGGCGAAGGCGGCGACCUGGGUCGAGACUGACGCUGAGGCGCGAAAGCGUGGGGAGCAAACAGG